rnacentral:ncRNA from 2 species
CUCUCUUUGGACUCGCGAGGGCCGUUCUGAAGAGAUCGGUCUGAGCCGGGGGAAGUCCGGUGAGAAUCCGGCACUGUGCCGCAAUGGUGUUUCCGGCGGUCGACGAUUUGGAGCAUGUUUCCAAAUUUCGGCCAGUCGGAAGAGUCCAACUACCCGCCUCGCGAGAGGACAUCGU